AACGAACGCUGGCGGCAGGCCUAAUACAUGCAAGUCGAACGCUCCAGCAAUGGAGAGUGGCAGACGGGUGAGUAACGCGUGGGAACCUUCCCAGUGGUACGGAAUAGCUCAGGGAAACUUGAGGUAAUACCGUAUACGCCCUUCGGGGGAAAGAUUUAUCGCCAUUGGAUGGGCCCGCGUCGGAUUAGCUAGUUGGUGGGGUAAAGGCCCACCAAGGCGACGAUCCGUAGCUGGUCUGAGAGGAUGAUCAGCCACACUGGGACUGAGACACGGCCCAGACUCCUACGGGAGGCAGCAGUAGGGAAUAUUGGACAAUGGGCGCAAGCCUGAUCCAGCCAUGCCGCGUGAGUGAUGAAGGCCUUAGGGUUGUAAGCUCUUUCGUCCGGGACGAUAAUGACGGUACCGGAAGAAGAAGCCCCGGCUAACUUCGUGCCAGCAGC
rnacentral:rRNA from 1 species